rnacentral:rRNA from 1 species
UGAAGCAAAGUCGUGAGGCGGAGCAAAUCACAAAACACAGUCUCAGUUCAGAUUGUAGGCUGAAACUCGCCUGCAUGAAGUCGGAAUUGCUAGUAAUCGCGGAUCAGCAUGCCGCGGUGAAUACGUUCCCGGGCCUUGUACACACCGCCCGUCACACCAUGGGAGUCGGUAACACCCGAAGCCGAUAGUCUAACGAAAGAGGACGUCGUCGAAGGUGGGAUUGAUGACUGGGGUGAAGUCGUAACAAGGUAGC